rnacentral:lncRNA from 1 species
UUUAUUUCUUUUAUAAUUAAGUUGUUUUUGUUUUUCUUAACAAGCCCUAACCCUAGCCAGUGAGCUUUGACAAGCUGUAACUUUUGAUCCAACCAUCCACUUAGUGUGAAAUUUUGCACCCAAAUACCAGUAUAAGCCUUCUAUAUGCUCAUAAAAUUUCAGCCCAACCCAACUUACAGAUUGCAAGAAAACGCCCAAAAACCGCACAGAUGAUACUCGGCCGCAACCUUGAAAUUUGAUGUAGAAACUCCAGAAGUGAUUUCUCCUUUGUCAACCGUUAACUCUAGCUCAAAAUUGAAAAGCCGCUUGAUCUCCAAAUCUUCUAUUACCAAGCCAAAAAUUACGUCGAUCCAACUAGUAGAUCUUCAGAUAUCACAGAAAUCCUAUCCAACCCUAGACUGCUAACUUACGACAACCCUUUGUACUAAAACCAAGAUAUUUCUUGAUUGCAUCGUUAGAUUAACACAAAUUUUUGUAUACACUUAGCACACCCAACUAUCCAGACAAUACCAAAUUUUGACCCAUAGAUGCUACAUGACUUGCACAAACCAAUUGAGAAUGCAAACUAUCAAUGUUUUAUAUAAAAUCCGAAACACCAAAAUAAACACUGACUUUGAGCAGCGAUUGCUCUCCCCUCACAAAUCCUAAUGAAACUGAACUAGUGACCUUGAAAAGAGCUUGAAGCU